AGUCGAGGGGCAGCGGGGAGGUAGCAAUACUUCCGCCGGCGACCGGCGCACGGGUGAGUAACACGUAUGGAACCUGCCCGUAGCAGGGGGAUAAGCGGAAGAAAUUCCGUCUAAUACCGCGUAAUAACUCCGAGAGGCAUCUCUUGGGGUUUAAAGGGUAACACCGGCUACGGAUGGCCAUGCGGCGCAUUAGCUAGUUGGCGGGGUAACGGCCCACCAAGGCGACGAUGCGUAGGGGUUCUGAGAGGAAGGUCCCCCACACUGGUACUGAGACACGGACCAGACUCCUACGGGAGGCAGCAGUGAGGAAUAUUGGUCAAUGAGCGGGAGCCUGAACCAGCCAAGUCGCGUGAGGGAUGACGGCCCUAUGGGUUGUAAACCUCUUUUGCCGGGGAGCAAAGUGCCGCACGUGUGCGGUUUGGAGAGUACCCGGAGAAAAAGCAUCGGCUAACUCCGUGCCAGCAGCCGCGGUAAUACGGAGGAUGCGAGCGUUAUCCGGAUUUAUUGGGUUUAAAGGGUGCGUAGGCGGACGCUUAAGUCAGCGGUAAAAUUGCGGGGCUCAACCUCGUCGAGCCGUUGAAACUGGGUGCCUUGAGUGGGCGAGAAGUACGCGGAAUGCGUGGUGUAGCGGUGAAAUGCAUAGAUAUCACGCAGAACUCCGAUUGCGAAGGCAGCGUACCGGCGCCCAACUGACGCUGAAGCACGAAGGCGUGGGUAUCGAACAGGAUUAGAUACCCUGGUAGUCCACGCAGUAAACGAUGAAUGCUAGUUGUCCGGGGCGAUUGAGUUCUGGGUGACACAGCGAAAGCGUUAAGCAUUCCACCUGGGGAGUA
rnacentral:rRNA from 1 species